UUCCUGGAACCCAGUCCCAGAACAAGCAGAGACCUGUGUGGCAGGGGAGAAGGUGUGGGGACCACCUAGCUCAACCCUCUCGUUCUACAGCCCGGAAAAGAAAGGCAGGGGAGAUCCCCUUUGACCAGGCCUGCCGAGGACUUCUGCUCCGAGAGAACAGGGGCUCCGGGACUCCAAACCCCCGAUCACCGCGCUCUUCAAUCAGUAUAUCCUGAUGGAUGAACCUAUGAGGGUGAGGAAGUGUCCCAAGCUGGCCCCCUGCCUGCCAUCUGUGUGCUAGGCGCUCAUCGCUUCUGGAUCUGGUGGCGGGACGUGGGACCCAGGCCUUUGCUGAGCCGCCUCUAAAGCAGGCCUGGGUUGGAAGCCGCUGCCCAGAGGCCGAGUGGCACUAAGGGGCCAUGAGAAGGGUGGACAUCACGCAGGAUAGCAUGGUGGAUUUUAGAUUGUAGCAUCCACAGCCCAACCCUGCCACUUAGGCACCAUCCAAUUUGUACAAGUUCCUUAACCCCUGAGUGCCAGUCUGUGCCUUGGCCCCUGCCUCCAGGCCUGUUGAGGUCUAAAGGCAAUACCACAUUUCCUGAGGUGCGAGGUUCCUGCUCUGCCCCAGGGCUUCACGCCGGCUGCACUAUUAUCUUACUGUUAUUACUGACCAGAAACUGAGAUAUUGAGGGUUGGGAAGAAUUCAAGGAGAAUCCUCAUUUUCCAAGGAAAAGGCCCCAGGGGAUGCAGGUU